UCCUGGUUAACCCAGGCAGUCUCGCUAGAGUUCCCAGCUUCACCUGUUGGCAACUAACGAUAAGGGUUGCGCUCGUUGCGGGACUUAACCCAACACCUCACGGCACGAGCUGACGACAGCCAUGCAGCACCUGUUCAGAGGCUCCGAAGAGCGCUUAUAUCUCUACAAGCUUCCUCUGUAUGUCAAGUCUGGGUAAGGUUCUUCGCGUUGCAUCGAAUUAAACCACAUGCUCCACUGCUUGUGCGGGUCCCCGUCAAUUCUUUUGAGUUUCACCCUUGCGAGCGUACUCCCCAGGCGGUAUACUUAUCGCGUUUGCUUCGGCACAGCCAGGGUUGAUUCCAGCUACACCAAGUAUACAUCGUUUACAGCAAGGACUAC
rnacentral:misc_RNA from 1 species